GCUGGUAGGAGUCCGGGGUUUGCCCUCAGAGUGCAUUCCAGCAGGUGUUUUCUUUUCUUCAGAAGACUCGGCUUAACAUGGAGACUUUCCAACGCCUCAGGAAAAUUCAUGGGGACCUGGAAUGUCAGUACUGUGGUAAAUUGUUCUGGUACAAAGUCCACUAUAACAUCCACGUACGCAGACACACCAAGGAGCACUCGUAUUACUGUUCAAAGUGCAGCUACUCGUCCAUCACCAAAACCUCUUUAAUGCGGCACCAGAUCCAGAAGCACAGUGGCUUGCUGCUGCCUUGUUCCAGUCCUGGCUGAAAAUACACCACACCUGACAAAUACAAACUUCAGGCCCAUUUGAGGACGCAUCAGGGACAGGAGAAUAGUUUGGCCUGUCCUGUCUGCCAGCACAGCUAUCCAGAGCACAGACUGAAACACCACAUCAAAACAUCCCACCCUGGUAAAGAACACACAGAUGUAUCUACAGACACAGAGAAAAGAACACACACUAACCACUGAACUUAUCCUGACACAUAACCUUUGCUCACUCUCCACUGUUGUCUUAGGUGGAAUCUUUGCACAGAACCAGGAAAUGUCAUC